rnacentral:rRNA from 1 species
GACGGAGGGUGCAAGCGUUGUUCGGAAUUACUGGGCGUAAAGCGCGCGUAGGCUGCUUGGAAAGUCGGAUGUGAAAGCCCUGGGCUUAACCUAGGAAGUGCAUUCGAAACUUCCGAGCUGGAGUUCUGGAGAGGAAGGCGGAAUUCUCGGUGUAGAGGUGAAAUUCGUAGAUAUCGAGAGGAACACCGGUGGCGAAGGCGGCCUCCUGGACAGUGACUGACGCUGAGACGCGAAAGCGUGGGGAGCAAACAGG